UAGUUAAUGAACUUGUUAUAAGUAUAUAUUUUGAAAAUAUAAAAAAGAGA
rnacentral:tRNA from 1 species